rnacentral:rRNA from 1 species
AACGAACGCUGGCGGCAUGCCUAACACAUGCAAGUCGAACGAGACCUUCGGGUCUAGUGGCGCACGGGUGCGUAACGCGUGGGAACCUGCCCUUAGGUUCGGAAUAACUCCCCGAAAGGGGUGCUAAUACCGGAUAAUGUCUUCGGACCAAAGAUUUAUCGCCUUUGGAUGGGCCCGCGUUGGAUUAGCUAGUUGGUAGGGUAAAAGCCUACCAAGGCGACGAUCCAUAGCUGGUCUGAGAGGAUGAUCAGCCACACUGGGAAUGAGACACGGCCCAGACUCCUACGGGAGGCAGCAGUGGGGAAUAUUGGACAAUGGGCGAAAGCCUGAUCAAGCAAUGCCGGGUGAGUGAUGAAGGCCUUAGGGUAGUAAAGCUCUUUUAGCCGGGAUGAUAAUGACAGUACCGGGAGAAUAAGCUCCGGCUAACUACGUG